rnacentral:rRNA from 1 species
UACGUAUGGUGCAAGCGUUAUCCGGAAUGACUGGGUGUAAAGGGAGCGUAGACGGUUGUUCAAGUCUGAUGUGAAGGCCCUCGGCUUAACUGGGGGAGUGCAUUGGAAACUGAAGGACUAGAGUAUCGGAGAGGCAAGUGGAAUUCCUAGUGUAGCGGUGAAAUGCGUAGAUAUUAGGAGGAACACCAGUGGCGAAGGCGGCUUGCUGGACGAAAACUGACGUUGAGGCUCGAAAGCGUGGGGAGCAAACAGG